ACAGCAGCCGCCGCGGUAAUACGAAGGGUGCAAGCGUUAAUCGGAAUUACUGGGCGUAAAGCGUGCGUAGGCGGUUUGUUAAGUCUGUUGUGAAAUCCCCGGGCUCAACCUGGGAAUGGCAAUGGAUACUGGCAAGCUAGAGUGUGUCAGAGGAUGGUGGAAUUCCCGGUGUAGCGGUGAAAUGCGUAGAGAUCGGGAGGAACAUCAGUGGCGAAGGCGGCCAUCUGGGACAACACUGACGCUGAGGCACGAAAGCGUGGGGAGCAAACAGGAUUAGAUACCCCAGUAGUCCCUGUCUCUUAUAA
rnacentral:rRNA from 1 species